GGGCGAUUAGCUCAGCUGGUUAGAGCGCUACCUCGACACGGUAGAGGUCAUCCGUUCGAGUCGGAUAUCGCCCA
rnacentral:tRNA from 1 species